GAAGCGCAUGCACAGCAAGAAAAGGGAGGGAGACGUGUGCAUGGCGAGAGCAGGAAGGAGGAAGGCACAUUUUAUUUGCACCGAGACAUGAAAUCCAAUGUCUGACUUGGGCUAAAGAGCAGCCAUGGGAAGACCUGGAUCAGCAGCACCAGAGUAGAUGCAAAAGCUUACAUCAACUCUCCUACAUCAAGUUUAUGAAUUAGUUCACUGCAGCUAGUGUUUAAUAAACAAAAAACAAGUGUGCAACAUCAAACUACAUCCUGAGCAUCAGCACAGUUUUUCCUUCAGGAAUUCUACAUCUUCUAGAAGAACUCUGUGAUCAAUCUCUGCUGGAAGCUGAACACAGAUUCACACCGGAGUACUAGAAAGCCUUAGGAUGCAUCUGUAUUGUAGCUUUGAUGCAGUUUGAUAUUAUGUUAACUUCUGUGGCCCGAUGCCAUAGCAUCAUGGGCGUUGUUCUUUGCUGAGGCAUCACCACUUUUUGGCAGAGAAGGCUACGACUCCUGCGAUUCUAUCACAUUGAGCCAUGGCAGCUAAAGUUGUGUCAAACAGCAUUAAUUCUACAAUAUAGGUGCAUUCCUAAAGAUAGGUCUUCCAGGACUUUGAGAUUCCUAGAGAGUACAUUUUUAAUCAAAUUUGUGAAUCCACAAAAAGACAAAACGGCUGUACAAAAAGCAGAUAGGGUAUUUUGCUUUUUUUAAUUUCUGUAAAUAAUUUUAUUAAAUAUUAUAAAAUCCCAAAAUAUUUAAAACAUGAUACAAAUUAUUGUCGAACGCUUUCAUGACUGGAAUCACUGAACAAACCUCUGAGGAUGCUUGCCACAGAUGCAGGUGAAACAUCAGGAGAGAAUACUACUGGAACAUGGCCAUAUAACUAGAAAAAGCUCACAGCAACCCAUGAUACAAUUGUCUUAUCACAUCUUCUAUUCCCAGAUCAGUACUCUCAGCCCUCCUUAUACUGAAUUACUUAUACUGAAUAUCAUUAUAGGAAUACAGCAUUGUCAAUUCUAUUACUUCUACAUUAUUCUAAUUGUAUCCGUUACAUAUAAUUAUUAUAAUAUGGUCAUUAAUUGUUCAAGCACAAUCUUUCUUGGAUGUUUGGUGGUUAAAAUUCGCUAUUGUUUUUAAUGCAUUAAGCUAAUAAAUGGAUCUAUUACUGUU